GAGGGUAUAGCUCAAUGGUAGAACAUUCAACUGCAGAUCGAGAGUUUCCCGGUUCAAACCCGGGUGUUCCUCU